GACCUCUAUUUUAUUGGCAAAAUUAGCAGUUUGUUAAAAUUGAAAAUGUUAUUUUUUGGCAAAACGUUACUUUACAAAAAAAAGGGCACAUUUGAGUAAAACACUGAAAAAUCUAAAAAAAAACACUCAUACAAAACCCGAGGACAGCCAAUGGACGAAUAUUUUCCUAAACCAUCGGAACAACACAUUGAUCAACAACUCCAUGGUUGUCCACUUAUAUUAAUUCACCAGGGGCUUAUCUCAAAACUAUUGAUUUGCGCCACAAAUGAAGGUCAAAUUCGUUCAUUACAUCAAAAACCACCGGAAAAACAUACUUUCAACUUUGAUGUUAUAUAGUGGCAACAAUAUACCAAUACAGUACUUCACUAGACGACCCAGCACAAUUAACUAAAUUAACCAUUAAAUACACUCUGUCUAACCAUAAUAACUCUCCAAUAACUUCUUAGUAUUAUUAAUGUUAAAUAUCUGGUAUAAUAUUAUGAAUAAAUGUCUUACCGAUGCCUCAGGCCGAUAUUUUCGGGGCUGUCAGAUCGUGGUACACUUAGUCCGUCCUCCACCUUCUUCCUCUGUCUUGUGGCUCCAGCUGGUGAUGGAUCCAAAAACCACCAGACGAGAAACUCUCCCCCUGUACCCCGUGAUGAAGGUUUAGUAGUGCUGUUAACUCAUAGAUGGCGCUCACCUCCAUAUCAUUCCGUAUCUUAUUACCUUUUUACGUUGAAUAUAUAAAACAGCUAUUUGAAUUAUCAUUUAUUACCAUUUACAUAAAACUAUGUUAGCAUGUAAUAGAGUCCAUAAAAAUAAAAUGAUUUUUGAUGUGAAAUAACUGAAAAACAUAAAUAUUUCAGUAAUUUAACAAGAAAGAAAAUGUGCCUUCGUUCUUGGGGCACUAUAUAUAUACAAACUUUGAAGUAUUCUCACCACAUUCAUUAACAAUACUGUACGUUAGUAAAGCCUAUAUGUUGGUGGUACUUAUAUACUGCCUGGAAUACUUAAGUACUGCUGGUUUACUUAAAGGGUGAAACUUUUAUUAUUUAGAAUCAGUGUGACGUUGAACCAUUUUUAUUGUUACCAAUACUUGUCACGAUGUUGUCCAAUAAGGCUUUUGAGACUUUAUGGUUUGCUUGAAUGGCUAUAGGCAGUUGCUUACACUGUUAAAGAGGCCAAUGAAUUCUAUAGUAGAUUUAGGAAUGUAUAGAAGGAACCCAGCCAGACAUUUAUUGAAUUAGUUUAUUUUAUUACCAAGCUUAAAGACUUUUCAUUUUUAAAUGAGCUUAUUAUGAGUGACCAUUAUCUACAGAUUCAGAUGUGUAUUUAUGUGGAAGUGACAAAUGUAGAGAAACUUCCAACUUUAAUAUGCGCUGUAUUUCUUUUAUUCAUAAUCUUUCACAUCAAAGUCAAUUGUGAUCUGGUUUUUGAAGUUUUGAUAAAUAUAGCAUGACGAAUUCUACGACUUUCUAUGGGCGGCCAGAAACAGACACCACCACAGUAAAGCCGCUAAUGGUUGUUACGCCCGUUUAACUCCCGGUAAACCACAUUCAUUAAUCUCUAUAGUGAAAAAUUAACAAGUUAUAAAUAGAAAAAUAUUAAACUAGCAAUAGAAAGGCGAUAAAUAAUCACGACAUAGUGAAGUUUUAUGGAACAAUUAUCGAGAAAUGAAAUGUCUUAAACACUUGUGAUGAGGUGGUUAGCCCAGUUAAGAGGUGGUUAGCCCAGUUAAGAUUUUCCCGCCUAAUUCACAUGUAUCACCCCCCUCCCCCCACCACUGCCGUCCUUAAAUACUCUGAAAGCUGUGACGGGAGGUCAGUACUGAUCAUAACCUCAAAGGAAGUAAUACUACUGGAUCCAUGGAUAUACAUCUCUUCAUUCUUCAAAUGCUGGUGUUAUUUUUCUUGAAUAUCCGAGAACUACGUGGAAUAACUACUGGAAAUGGUUUAGUGAGGGGAUGAAUUUGAGUUUCGUUCUAGUUGAAAGUGGACCAAUCCAGCUUCACCCACGGCACAGUGACCUACCUACCUUCGUUAUGUGGGCAGUUAAGGACGAACCCGGCUAGAGUGGGGAAGAAUUAUAGGAGCGGGAACUGCUGUAUUUAUUUAACUGUAGAUAUGAUCGACAUAUUUCUACAAUAAACUUGAUUUUAAAUUUUAAAA
rnacentral:lncRNA from 1 species